CAUGCAGCACAUAUACUCUAAAAGAAAAGGAAUGAUAUGCAGAAAAAAUUAGCAUGGCCCCUGAGCAAGGAUGACAUGCAAGUCUGUGAUGUAUCCCAUAUAAGA